rnacentral:rRNA from 1 species
AUGAGUGUGCCCAGAAAAUUUGAAAAACAGUUUCAUGGAUUGCUAUCAGAAGGAUCUGUCUACAUUAUUGCAGAUAUUGUAGCUAUUGAUAACAGAAGCAAAUCAUAUGCCUACCACCAUCAGAACUACAUGCUGCAAUUCAAACAUGACACAAAGGUCCAUGCAUUGCACUCAAGAGGAGCAAAUAUACCUAUUGUUUCCUUCAACUUUUGUCCAUUUGAUCAACUGCCAAGAAAAGCAAUUGAUUCAAAACCACUCCUAGAUAUUAUUGGAGUAAUAAGUGAUGUUGGUCCAUACGAUUAUGCUAGCCCAACAUCUCAGAACAAACUUCAGAAGAAAAAAAUCGAAACCUAG